AUUGAACGCUGGCGGCAGGCCUAACACAUGCAAGUCGAGCGAGCGGCGGACGGGUGAGUAAUGUCUGGGGACUGCCUGAUAGAGGGGGAUAACUACUGGAAACGGUAGCUAAUACCGCAUACUAUCGGAUAACCCAUAUGGGAUUAGCUAGUAGGUGGGGUAAUGGCUCACCUAGGCGACGAUCCCUAGCUGGUCUGAGAGGAUGAUCAGCCACACUGGGACGGAGACACGGUCCAGACUCCUACGGAGGCAGCAGUGGGGAAUAUUGCACAAUGGGCGAAAGCCUGAUGCAGCCAUGCCGCGUGUGUGAAGAAGGCCUUCGGGUUGUAAAGCACUUUCAGCGGGGAGGCGUUACCGGCAGAAGAAGCACCGGCUAACUCCGUGCCAGCAGCCGCGGUAAUAC
rnacentral:rRNA from 1 species